ACGUGGGAAAUAAACCCUUCUCUCCGUUACCGCUGACGGGCGCUGGUCCAAUAAUGGCCUCGCAGCACGCCUCCUCCGUGUGCCUCGCCGUCCGCGCGAUCACCUCCCCCUGUUUUCCGACCCCUCCGCUCCCCUGAUUCCCUCCUUCGCCGGCGGGAAGGAGGCGGUAGGGUUUCCUUCGACGUAUGAGAAGAAUUCUUGAUGCUGCCGCUCUCAUCUUCUGUCGCUUGAUCCGCCGGUUUCCGAGCAUCGAUCCAACGGAACGAGUGUUUCGCUUCAGAGAGGUGUAUCGGGAGGAACUCAGCUUGGUCGAAUGCUGUACCAAGCAGCAAGUCAAAUGUCAGUCAAAGUAGUGACUGUAGAUCUCCUCAAAAACUGUCCAGCCAAUGCAAUAUCCUAUAACAUUUUGUUGGGAGUUUUGAUGAUGGUGAAUCAGUUUGUGAAUUUGCAAAAAGGUGCAGGUUGUUGACUGUAGAGACUGAGCACAUUGAUGUUGUUACACUUGAGAAGCUUGGGCAACAAGGGAUACAUUGCCAACUUAAGGCUUCUACAGUAAGGAUAAUCCAAGUGCUGAGGAGUAGUGCAGACUGGGUUAUGAGCUUUGCGCUGGAGAAUAUAGGGUUCAAUUUUGGUUUCCUUAUUUGGACUUUCAUUAUGAAUUGAAAAAAUUUGCAUAUGGUCAAGUGGUAAUUUGGAGAUAGUGUUGAUGGAGAUUUUAACUUGGAUAUUUUUGAAAUUAUUGAAUGUACUGUUAAAGUUAUUAUGUUAGGGUUUGUGGAUGCUCUAAAAUUUACCACUGUCUAUUUAUUUGUAGCAAUUUUUCUUGGAGAAUCUAUUUUGAACUUGAGAACUGCAGGCAGGCCUUGCAAGUCUUCUGGGGUUAAGCCCUAUGAGAUAUGCAGCUAUUUGUCACAUGCCUAGCUCGUGCCGCUGGGUUGGGGUACGGCGGUCACCUUGUACAUAGAAUUAUCACCUUAUAUGUGCAUGACUAUAUGUAUUGAUGGUAAGCAUAUAUAUCAUGUUGUAUGAUUUAUCCAUAACAAGAAUGAUUCUUUUCUUUUUUUGGUUUAAGAGAUUCAUUCUCCAUCCCCAGUUUAACUCGAGAACAAGAACAAGGUUUUCAUGUUAAAAAUUUUCGAUCUUUGAGCAUACAUUGUGUGUAUUUGUCAACACAGUAUACUCUUUCCUGUACAGUAAGAUGCAUGUUAGUACGUAUCAAAAGUUUGUCUUUAUGUUGGGUGGUGUUUGAAUUCCUAAAUGAAUCAAUCGUAGUUGUUAUUAUCAAGAAAAACAAUUUGUCAAUAGCAGCUUAUUGUUGAAUUUUGAAUUCAAUUACCUCUAGAUGUCAGUUAAAUAGUUCUAUAUUCUCAACCCUUGAUGUAAACUUUAAUUUGCAUAUAUCAUAGUGAAGAUCUGACAAACUUUAAAUUUUCCGUUUUCAUUUUCAAAAGGGUUGUCAUCAGAUAGAGUACAAAGGAAUCCAUAUUCUUGUGGGUGACUAAAUGGCUGAUUUCCUAUCCAAGGACGGGGCAGCCCUCUCUUUUAAAGCCUUUAUUCCAUUAUAGCAGACCCCCAUUCAAACCGUUAUGAUAGCCAUUAUUUUCCUCGAAAGGUACUAUUUCAAUUUUUUAAUAUUAAAAUAAUCACUGAUGACCAUUAUAAAAUAACUGAAAAUAAUAGGAAAUAACCGAAAAAUAAUGGUGUUACUUUUUGAUAAAAAAUAUUAUUUUCAGGCUAGUAUUCCUAUUAGGAAAAUUGAUGUUGAAAGUUUGAAUUUAAAAAGGAAUAGUUCUUUGCUUAGAGCAAUGGAAAAAAUGAUAAUAAUGGCUUUUAUUUUUGUUAUUUGUGUCAGUAGGCCAUUAUCCUUUCCCCUGUUAUUAUGUAUAAUAACUUAACCGAGGAGACCCAGAAUUGUUAUAAUGGCCACUAUAGCAUUAUAAUGGCCAUUUUUUGAACCUUGUUCUUGUCCCCCCUUGUGCGGGAAGUUACCGAUGACCUGGCCAAGUUAUGCAUUGUGGCAUUUGAAAAUAAAUCUUGGUGAAUAAAUAGACUGACAGCAUAAUUUAGCAAAAAGUAAAAAACAAAAAUGCAUAGUAUCUUGUUAAGAAAUAUUGUCCUGACCUAGUUGUCCCACUACUGGAUCUGAUAUACAUACAUAUACACAUUCGUUCAUGUAUUUACGUGUGUAUAUAAAUUUUAUUGUUUAUUGUACAGCUAUAAUUAAUCUUUUUAUUCGUUGUUUGAUUUAAUGUAGCAAAGCAGUUAUUAAUGCUUGUUUGAUAUAUCGAUGCCACAAGGUAUCCCAGUUGCAACUGUUGCAAUACGAAAUGCUGCAAAUGCAGCUUUACUAGCGGUUAGGAUCCUGGCAUCUGGCAUGCUGAUUUGUGGGACAGAUUGGAUUCUUCACCUCCCAGAUUCCCUUUGAACUUAAUUUGGUCAAUACUGAUUCAUUCUUUUGCAAAAUGAUUGCUUAAUAUCUGUAUUUCGACAGGGUAGUCACUUACCAAGAGGACAUGAAGGACGCUGUACUAAAAAAAAGGCAGAAAAGCUUGAGGGGGGGGGGGAGGUUGGGAGAGAUAUUUGAAUAUUGCUUAUUCCUGGCGAGUUCGUAAUUUAUUUUUAUCACGGGUCAAGGAUUUUUUUUUUUUUUUUAACCACAACCAAUCGACAAUGGGGACAUGGAGUUCCAAGACUAAGACUUCACACAAUUUUUCUGCGAACCUACAAAGCACGAGGUGAGUUAAUUGGAGCAUUUUGUUCAGAGGAGAAAACAGAUUUCCUUUGAAAGAGUGGUUUUUAUGUGAUAUACUGGGGAGAUUUCAGGCUUGAGAUUUGUUGGUGCAUUUUGAUUGUUGAAUGACACCUCCAAAAUUUUAUUUUUCUCAUUUGAUAUCUAUAACUCAUUUUCAUGAGGACGAACAUCGAAUUUGGUCUUGUUUUGAGUUAUGAACUUAGCCCCCUGUGUAAUAGAGUCAGGCUGUACAUUACACAGCGCGUGAUCGCAUCAUCAUGAGCAGAACCAGAAUCUUUUUAUCAUUUUGCAAUAAGUAGUAAGCAUUUUCCCUUU